ACCCUUCCUUGCUUGUUGUAGUGCUUUCGAUUUCCCCUGAUAGCUUGCUAGCUCAUUUGGUUUGGUUUGCUUUGGGGUAGCUCAAUCCAUGUAAUUUGGAAGUGGUUUCAGUUAAAUGGGACAAACAUGGAUGAAACAGAGGAAACAUAUGCCCUCUCUUUUUCUGCUGUAACAAAUAUUAUCUCCGCCCGGAAUUAGUUGUUCCUUAAAUGUAUGUAUCUGGAAGUAUUUCAUUGCUAGAUGUAUAUCCAUUCAAGCGACAAGUAAUUCUAGAUGGAGGGAGUACAUCUUUUGUCAAGUAUCAACACAUGCAGGUGUACAGAUACUUAUUUCAGAAUAACUCUAGUUGAGCAAUAUUGUAUAUAGGUUGGUGUAGUCUUUGAACUGGAACAACAGUUCUCUACAAAUUCCUUUCUUUACCUCAAGUCUGCUCCUGACAUGAUUUUGCUGUUAUUUUUUCUAUAACAAAUACAUCUCUUGUCAAGUACCAAGACAUACAGGUCUAGAGAUAGUUACUGCCAUAGCAACUAAAAUAGAACAUAUCUAGUACAAAAUAUCUCUAGUUAAUCUAUAUUGUAUAUAAGAUGGUGUAGUCUUUGAACUUGAACAGAUGUUAUUCUGCAUGGUUCCUUUACCAGAAGUCUGUACCUGACAUGAUUUCUCCGUUAUUUUGUCUAUGUAAGAAAGCUAUCCCAGUUCAUGGCUCCUCCAUAGUUUGCAUACCUUGACAAAUUUGUCUAACUUCUUUUAGGAUUUCAGCGAAGAAACAAGCUAACAAUGAUGGAUAUACCCUACAUUUUCAUUCCAGAAGAUUGGCCAUUCACUUUCUACGAGGGUCCCAAUUGGCAUGCAGAUUCCAUCUUCAGGGAUAUGACAGUAGCAGAGCUAGGAUGUGGCAAUGGUUGGAUAUCAAUUUCACUUGCAGAAAAGAGGCGCCCUUGGAAGCUGUCUGCGUGCUGGGCUGGGACAGAGGUGCUCCUUAUCCACGGUCCAGCACAGGGAGAGUAGUCCUUCAUCCAUGCGGUUCUGCUAGAGGGACGGCGCAGCCUCGCGAUUCAGCCAAUACGACAUGGCUAGCUGCUCCACCUCACGGCCAACCUGGAGCAGCAGUGCCCAAAUAGUCGGCCCCAGCUAGCUUGACAAGUUGGAGGAGAUCAAGAGUCCCUGUCACGGCCAGCACUCUUGCCAAUCCAGCACCACCACCACCUUCGGAGGCAGUAAACACCAGCAACCACAUGAUCACGACCCUGUGCAACCAGAGAUGGCACACAAUUGCUUCGGAAGUGACCUGGAGCAGCAGCACCUCCCAAUCCCCGGACCCAACUAGCUCGACGACAAGGAGGAGAGCAUGAUCCUAGGCUCCUGCCGUGGCCAUCUACGGCGAGCUCAUGCCCCUGCAGUGGAAAGCAAUGAAGUGCGUGUGAUGGCCUUGCGUCAAUCGCUAGAGGAUCCAAGGCAUCUCAUGACUGUGAAGGAGGUCACAACCCUUUGGUUCAAAUGCCAACCUAAACUACUAGAUAUCUGCAGCAGCAGCAGGAGCACCGGUGGGGUUCGACGCCCAGGACCAAGAAGAACUUGGCGGUGGCCAACCCGGCGCAUCCUCCUGUGACUUGAGCUUCAGUAUUGGACGAACACUUUGACUCACUUGUUUUGAUCUCGGAGAAAUCAACUGCAUGUCGAUGAAAAUACUCCCUCCGUUCCAAAAUAAUUGUCUUUCUAGCUAUCUCAAAUGGACUACAACAUACGGAUGUAUGUAGACAUGUUUUAGAAUGUAGAUUCAUUCAUUUUGCUCCGUAUGUAGUCACUUGUUGAAAUCUCUAGAAAGACAAUUAUUUUGGAACGGAGGGAGUAAUUUGUAAUGCUGGUGCUUUAGUAUCCAUGAUCAACGCUGCGAUUGCAAACACGUGAGGCCUGCCAGUGAGCCUCUUGUAUGCAGGAGAUACGCUGUGUAUGUAGAACCAAGUUUAAAGAAAGAAGAUAUUAUUGU